GGGAACGAUACGGCGGAACUGCGUGGUGAUUUUCCAGGCGUCCACGCGGAUUUCAAACAGGUUGUUGACGAGCGCCAGGACCGGAGCCAGAGGGAAGGAGGCCACAAAGAGGGUGACGAAGCCAAACUGGAUGACUGAACACAGAGGACCGCUUUGGAGCCGCUUUCUGACCGUCUCUUCAGGAUGCGGCGUUUUGAGGGCGGUCUUAUUUACGAGCCUCUACUUCAACUGUGUCUUCUCAGCCAUGUUGUAGUUUUAGCGCUUCCAUAUGGAGUCUACUGACGGAUAUAAGUUAGAACUAUAUGCUACUUUGUAUGAGAAAUGGCAACAACGGAGGAUGCAUGUGCAUGUACAAGCCAGUGUGCCCCACAACAAGAGGAUAGACAAAAACAAUGUCGGACUACAAAUGAAUAAAAACGUCAGACUCGUGUAAUGCUCUUCAGGUAAACCUUUACCUUAUAUCAGUGGUUCUUAACCUGGGUUCGAUCGAACCCUAGGGGUUCGGUGAGUCGGCCUCAGGGGUUUGGCAGAGCCUCCGCCGCAGCGGUCAAGACACACCAGACUCAUGAAUUGAUUAACGUGGACCCCGACUUAAACAAGUUGAAAAACGUAUUCGGGUGUUACCAUUUAGUGGGCAAUUGUACGGAAUAUGUACUGUACUGUGCAAUCUACUAAUAAAAGUUUCAUUCAAUCAAUCAAUCGUGUAAAUAAAAACUUCUCCCUAUCGGCGUAUCUGUAAUGUAAAGUUUAAAUUUGAAUGACAAUAAAAAGAAAGUCUAAGUAUUAUGGAAAACCCCCAAACAAUGUUCCCUCUAAUUUUCCAUCUGAUUUGCAAGUGUUUAAUUUGUUGUGAGUUCAUGCACUGUGUUGGUUUUGUUCUUUGAACAAGGUGAUGUUCUUAGAACAAGGUGAUGUUCUUUGAACAAGGUGAUGUUCUUUGAACAAGGUGAUGGUCUUUGAACAAGGUGAUGUUCAUGCACGGUUAAUUUUGUGCACUAGUAAAAAAACAUACAUUUGUCUUGAAUUUGGAAAAAAAAAAAAAAAAAAAAAUUUUUUCACUAAAGAAGGGUUCGGUGAAUGUGCAUAUGAAACUGGUGGGGUUCGGUACCUCCAACAAGGUUAAGAACCACUGCCUUAUAUGGAGAUAUCUGCAGACGCCACAUGUUGGAAAAUGUCACAAGUCAGGGAAAAUUCAAAACAACUUGUUUGGAACAAGCUUGGAAGAAGAAAUUUGAAAUCUAGGGAAGUGGGCAGCUUUUGAGAAAAAAAGAGGAAAACUGAGAAAAAAAGAAGAAACUUUCUCUCGGCACAAAGUGCUGCCACGCAAACACAGAAAGAAAAUUUAGAAAAUCAAGAAUACAUUUCCUGCAAUUGGGUGCAUUUCUACACUUUUUUUACCUUUAGAUUUGUUCUCAUCUACCAACCUCUUUUGGCUAUCUUUUAGACACAUGUCCCAUGUUAUGUACCACAUAAUUUUCAGUUUCAUUAGUAGAUAAUUUACGAACAAAUAUUUUCAUUGAAAAUGUAAUGUAAAGUUCUAUAACAUGCAUGCAAAGAACUCAGAAAACAUUUCCCAUUUGGCAAGUCUAUCCUCUAGCCACGCCCCCUCGGGUAAUAUACUUAUGGUGUCGUGACCUCUGUUUACAAUCCGUCAUUUUAAAAAUAUGCCUUCUUGCUGGCUACUAAUAAACACUCUAGAACUACAACGGUAAAAUUAAUGUUUAAAAAUGUGGAUUUCCGCGUUUUGGCAGAAAUGUCACAUUCCUGGAAAACAUACCAUGGAGGCAUGGCGGAGAUAUUUAUAAAACAAUCUUGCCUUCCUUCAUACUUCCUUCAAACAAAUCGUUUGGAAUUUUCCCCAGUUGUGACGUUUUUCCUAUUGGUGAUGGCAGCGGAUUUUUCCACAUAUGUUACAGGUUUACCCCAAAACCUUUGUGUGAGUCCGCCAUUGUACUCCGACGCUGUAGUCAAUAAGUUCUUUCUUUUUCUCUAUCGUCUUGCUGUGGGGCAGACUAGCCCAUACAUUUACAUGGAUCCUUACAUUGGAUGGUAGAGAGUUUUGGGAAGCCCUAAACAUAAUUUGAGCGGUUUUAAAAUUGAUCACAUCGUGCAGUUUAAGUUGCUUUAACUCCAUGAAUAGUGGAUUUGAAUGAUGUCUGUAGUGAACAUUAGACACAAUCCUAAUGGCCCUUUUCUGCAGAGUGACUAAAGGCUGUAGAUGGUAUUUAUAACAAUUUCCCCAGACUUCAACACUAUAGUUUUAAUACGACAUAAUAAAUGAAUGAUACAAUAACAGCAGAGCAUUGGUGUUCAAUAAAUAACAUGAUCUCCUCAUCAUUCCAACACAUUUAGCAACAAUCAUUGGUACUUUAACUUUAACUGCUAACUAUUAAGCCACUGUGGAGCCCCCUUUAAAAAAAAAAAAAAAAAAAAUGUACACAACCCUUUCUAACAAAAAAAGCUUUGACUAGGAAGUGUUGUGUACAAUACUGUCUACUGUAUGCCUGUAAUUGUUUCUUCAUGAGUGGCAAAAAACAGGAACUUUUAGGACUUUUAAUGGGGGAUGUAUCUAGGGAUGUAACGUAUCAAAAUUUCAUAUUAUCACGAUAUUAAGGCUCCGGUACGAUAUUAUUGUAGUAUAUUUCCCAAAAUUUUAGUUUUAGUGUGUAAAAUAAAGUGUCAGGAAUGUUUAGGAUAAACACACUUAUUGUAAUUGAACACAAAUAUGAUGUUCAAAUCUUCUAAUCAUAUUUAUUGCUACAUAUAUGUAUUUUUAAGUGCAAAGAAUUGAGUAGGGACAUUCACUGUUUCAAGCAAAUAUUAAAAAAAUAACCUUACAGUUUCAUUUCUUUAAAGUGACAAUGUAAACAUCCAGUGGAACAAGUGUAAAACAAUAAUGUUCACUUUAGUGUAUUUCAACUUUUACUUUCUGAGAAGUACUGUCCUCCACAGUGGACAUGUUUAUAUCAGUCUGGAAUAUGCUGUUUUUAGGAAAAGUUUUCAAACAAUAUAACUUUUAAUUAUGUAAUACCUCAGAAACUGAUGUUCGGCUUCGCUGGCUUCAAAUAUAUUUUCUGGAUGACAGUUUAUGAAGUGGCGACUUGUCCAGGGUGUACCCUGCCUUCCCCCUUAGUGCAAAUAGACUUCAGCCCCCCCACGACAUCAAGAGAGACAAGUGGUGGAAAAAUGGAUUGAGGAUUCAUCAAGUAGUUUUUCAGUUUACUCAUAUUUCACGCAUGAAACAUUAUUUGGGGGGUGAUUUCGCUCUGUGCAGUGCGAUAGGAUCGGCUGGCUCUGUGUCGCUUUAGAAAAGCUCGGGACAAACGUGACGUGCUUUGCUUUGCAGAACGCAGACUUUCUUACCACUGCCAAAGAGAUUAUGUUUUUUGCCAGAGUUUGUCUGUGUGUUAGAAGCAUAACUCAAAUAGUUAUGGAUGGACUUUGAUGACAUUUUUCAGAAAAGUUUGAUAAAGUCACGCGUCACGUCAUUAUUGUGAAGACUUUGAAACCAAAAUACUGCGGUAUUUACAAUGCCGUUACGCCCCUAGUUGCUUACAUUAUUUGCAGACAUGUACUGUCUUCUUCUUACCCAUUUCCAGAUAUUCAUAGAAGAGUCCCAGAUUGGACAUGGGUUGCAGUUGGUAGUCUUGCUCCCAACGAGGAAUCACUUUCUGUGACGCUGUGCCCCUGCAAUAGCGUAAAAUCAAAUUUUUCACCCACCUGCACACACACACACACACACACGCACAUACACACACACACACACACACACGCACACACAUCCACACACACACGCAUACACAGGUGAGGCGUAGAUGGCUUUUCCACCCAUGAUGAUGGACAGUUGCGUGGUCAGUUCAAUCAAACAACCACCAGGAUCACACUGGAACAAGAAAAAGAAGAAAGUGAAGCAUAAUUCAUGCGCUCCAAGCGGAGGACCGACCACACUCUACCUCCUCGUUGCGGUAUUUUCCCAAAAGCAGCUCACCAAAGUUGGUGAUCCAGAUGGCCACCCUCUCGUAGAGCAUGUUGAGGAUCAUGAUGACCACAAAGCUGAUGAGGGAGGCCGUGACCGAGGUGGCCAUCUGCGGCGUCACAUACUCCUUGAGAGGCUCCAGCUCCU